CGUAGUUGGAUUUCUACCUAUUUUGCCCGUUCCGGAUGAUAUUCAUCGUUCGGUAAUGGAGCUGAAGUGGGUAUCCUAUCAUGAAGUUGCGGCCUCGUGUCGUCGCUGAGUGGUUCUUUUACUUUGAAAAAAUUAGAGUGUUUAAAGCAGGCUUGCGCAAGAAUACAUUAGCAUGGAAUAAUAACAUAGGACUUUGGUCUCUAUUUUGUUGGUUUCUAGGACUAAAGUAAUGA
rnacentral:rRNA from 1 species